rnacentral:tRNA from 1 species
CCUUCGAUAGCUCAGUUGGUAGAGCGGAGGACUGUAGUGGUCAGUGCUGGUAUCCUUAGGUCGCUGGUUCAAAUCCGGCUCGAAGGA